GGGGUACACGUGAGGGCAGCUGAUAAAGGGAAGACCUGAGCCUCAGAGGGGGAGGAGACAGAGCAGCCCGGUGCGCAUUGAAGACCAGAGUGGAGAGGAUGGCACAGAUAAAGGUCAACCAACUGCAGAUGAAGGCCUACCUAGAAGGGUCUGCGCAGGACAGGCAGAGUCCCUCCAGAUCUGAAGACUAUGCAGCCAGCUAGCACCAGGCCUACACCAGGGGACAAGACCAAGAAUGAAGAGACCAAGGCUCCCUGCAGAUCACAUGGCCGAUUCUCAUUGCUUCCAACCUUGGCUGCCUGGAAGAACCUUAUCUCUACAUAGAUACAGCCAGUGAGUCUACACUAGACAAGGCAACCAGAGACCAAAGAGAAGAAAAGGCAGAGCGGGGACAUCCGGAGACAAGAGAGAAGCAACAGCUGUUGGCUUGGAAUACCACAGAAAGAAACUUGAGGUAGCGGCUUGCCAGUCGGCUACUGUGAAACCAGAGGCAUGGUAUCUUUUCUGCCACUAGCCUGGCAGGCAUUGACAGGGAGGUUGGCCUUGGCAGUGAGGGAGCAUCCCCAAUCCCAGUAGCCUGGGGCAAUCUCUUUCUGGAAGACAGCGGCUUCCUUGCUUUUGCUGGCUCUUCCAGUUCACCAUCACCUGAGAGUUUCCGGCUGUGAACACAGCCUGCCAAGGGGCAAGCUGAAGGAAACAGACUGCAUGAGAAAAUGGGGAACCUGUCAGGGUAGAAGCAAGCUUCCUGCAGCCCCAUGGCACGGUUCUCCAGUUUGGGUUGCCUCUCAUUUUGGCAUGGAUUUGAGGAGAUGUGUUCUAAAGUUUCUGGAGAAAAUUAGAAGGAUUGCAAGUAAAGUUGGGUAGUGCUCUAUGAAAAGGCCUGGAACAUUCCACAUUUGGAUUCUUAUAUGUCUUCUUUUUGGGAGGGGGCAUUUAAAACAGGGUUUCUCUGUCCUGGAACUCACUCUGUAGACCAGGCUGUCUUCAAUCUCAGAAAUCUGCCUGCCUUUGGCCCCUCUGUCCCCUAGUACUCAGAUUAAAGGCGUGCGCCAUCAACACCCACU
rnacentral:lncRNA from 1 species